CGCGACUAGUCGAUCAUAUCCACAUCUAAGGGACACUGGCCUCAGCAGGUUCGUUGAGCUUUUAUUCUUACUGUUGCUGCUGCUGCUAUAGCUUGGGACAUCACUUUCUGCGUUAUAUCAAGAGGUCAAAAGUGCAGCAGUUGAAAGUUCUCAGAGAGAUGUGUCGCCGUGGCAGCUCUCGUAAAUUAAUUGACAAGGGGAGGAGGGAGCACUGCUACUAAUUCCUCAGGACUAUUUCAGUCGAUGUGAGUCAACGACACACUCAAAUGAGGCCUAAUAAUCGGGACGAUUUAACACACUAGUGAACAUUUCGACUGGCGGAUAAUCCGAUGACGAUGGCAAAGCGGCAAGGAUCAAAGAGAAGUAUAAUCCGGCGCUCGAAAAUGGCAUUAAAAAGGAGAGAGGGAGAGAGAGAGAGAGAAAAAAAAACGUCGUCGUUGCAGAGGGAUAUAUGGAUCAUUCGAGUAUGCAGGCAGCUGCGGCGGAAAAGGGAGAAAGAGAGAUUCCUAUAAUACCACACAUCGCAUUACUCGCGCUCGAUUGAAUCCCCUCGCCGGCACUGCUGCAAAGAAGAAUGAUACUCGGGUGUGCAGAUGCGCGGAUAAUUGUUUGGGUGCUUUUCGCAUUGUCGCUGCGCGGGCUCUCAUAUUGAGAUGUCGAGCGACGUCGUCUUCUCUCGUUGACUUUGUUUUCGAGGCUGGUUAUUCGCGGUCGAUCGCAUACUCGUCGGGGCUCGUUCUCGGGUGCGCCGCGGCGUUUCGCUGCUCUCGCGAGGCGCACACACCAGCGGGCGAGCGAUUAGAAAAGAAAGCCCGCUACUUGGCGCUUAGCGAACUUUUAAUCUUGGAAUGGAGCCGCGGGCGAGCUUCCAAAAAUUCUUCCUACGGCUGGGUAGGAAAGACCGACGACCUUCGUCGACGCGCGCGCAAAAGAGAGAUUUAUAGCUUGUGCCCGUGCUAUUGAUAAACGUACAUAACGAUCGCCAACGAAAAAAAAAACGGAUACCUCACUUUUCAUAAUCGACGAGGAUCCGGGAAUGACAGUUGGUCGAUGAACGUCAUGGUUUUUUUCCUGUUUUAUCUUCCAGUUUCCAAUGGACUUUAUUAAGUAAUAUCGAUAAAAUCUUUUGAUUAAAAAUCAACUGAUCGCUGGUAAAAUCGGCUGGAACUUCUUAGUUAUACAGACGAUUCGUGUGUAACAUUUAGGAAAUGUCGCAUUUCAUCGAACGCGAAAUUCAGUGCAAUAUUCGAUGUAUAUAUCUUGCGGGGUAUUUGUUUUAUCCCAAAGAAAUUUUUCCGAACGUUGUUGCAUUUCUUGAAAAAAACCUCUCAAAUCUAGACAAUUUUUCUAACCGUACUGUUGGACGAUUCAAGAGAAAAUAUUUAUGAUCGUUCGUGUAACUUAUAAGAUAUAAGACUAUCUGAAAUAACAUUUCAUUUGAUAACGUUUCAUUUUAAACAUGCACAUUUACCCUUUACAAUGAAUGCCAGCACGAUCAAUUUGAUUGGAUCUAACCCCAGCUAUCAAAUUUUGAAGUAAACCAUCUUUUCUCGAUGUAUAAAAUUUAGCAUAUUUCUUAAACGACACUAUGAAAAUAAAGUAUUUUAGAAGAUUUUAACAACGCGCGAGACUGAAAAAUAAAUUUCGCACUCAAUAUUUAUUAUAAAGGAAUGUAAUUUUCCUACGAUAAAUUGUAUGGUAAUCUCUUAUUUGUGAAUGAAUAUUAAAAAUUAAUCUAGAACUGAUAUAAUGGAUGUAACUAC